UAAUAUAUUCUGACUUGCUCUCAGGUAGGGGAAUGUAGCUUUGCUAAGAUUAAGUGGGGUAACAGAUAACUUUAGGAGGGGGAAAAUAUUCCCUAAAAGACCUUGGUGUCUCAUGUGUGACAUGUGAUAAUCGUGUGUAAUUGAAUCACAAAUACCUACGUGUUCGAAGGAGUAUUGCAUACUCUCUCGCUGGGCUUUGGAGAGAUCUCUAGUGAAUACAGCUGAGGAUGGAAAAUGGAAAGGACAGAGGGGGUUAAAAUGUGGCUGCCCAUCCAAAAGUAACUGGGUGUAUUUUCUCUCCUGAGCUCAGGCUGUUUAUCUAGUGAUGUAGCAAACAGCAUUUCAGUUGUUUGAAAAGAGCUUUUCACUGGAAGUAACUGGGAUUUUUUCCCCCCACCCUUUUCUCUCGUGCAGUAGGAAGGUGACACACAGUAGAAAGCGGUCUCUUCUUCCAGGAGACCUCAAAACACUUGGAAUGAUGACACCUCCUAUAGAACUUGUGCUGCACUUGAAGAUAUCCUUGGAAUGAGAAACGCAUCCAAGAUUCAACAACCGCAUUGAACUUGAAACUUGGACUUGAAGAGCACCAAUGUUUAAGCUCCUUGUUUGCGUCAGGCUUCUCUUGCUUCAGUUCUGAAAACAUCGUACACCAGCUGCAAGCUUAAGAUGCAGCUGGAUGUAAGUGAUGUGCCCCGUAACGUGUUCAAAUCCGCUUGUACUGUAAUGCUCCUGUUUAAAAGAAACUGCUAUUUUUUUUGUUUCAAAUUUUUUGAUGGUUUGUUUAUCUGGGAAUUGCCCAGUCUAUUUAUAUUGAAGUUUCUGUUCUGAGAAUCAGAAGGGCUGGGUUUUGUUUUGUCCUGUUUUUCUUUUCUUGGUGUAGUAUGCAAGUUUUUCAUCUUGUGUUUGUGUUAAGAUAUUGCAUGAGAAUGUUGUUACUGGACUAGUUCUGGAGAUUGAACUGCCUGUGGGAAAUAACACGUGCUGUAAUGCUGCUGUUAUACUAUGUUUGUAAUAUAUGCUUUAGACGUUGUAAUUAUUCUUUUACAUCGUGCCUCCCCUAAGUAAGGCCAGUGAAAUACUGUAAUUCAGAACUGCUAGGAUAUCUUAAGCAGUCUAAAGGUUCUGGAUGAGUGGACCGGCUCCUGGAAGUAGGUUUCGUGGGAGACCUAUCAGACAACCAUGUGGAGAAAGCUGCUGACAGCUGCUAAUUUUUGGGAAAUAGGCUGUAUAAUAUAUGUGACAGGGUUUAAAGAGCCCAAGGAUAGCAUUUUGAUAAUGAUAGGGAGGGAAACUUCCUACCUCCAACUCCUCAGUAUUCCUAUGGGAAGUGUUCUUGCUUUUUGAUGUGUUUUGUCAUAGUUCUGACUGUAAUUCUUCUCUCAGAAAGAGAGGUGGAGUGGUUGGAUUUGUUUGUAGCAUGCUUGCUAUUAUGUAAAACAAAUUUUUUUUUAACUUAACUUUGAAGCAAUUCUCAUGAAGUUACCAUCUAUUAAGCAUUGUUAUUAAUCAUAAUGAAUUGUUAGUUUGUAAUGCUUUGAAAACUAAGUAAAAUCACCUCUGGGACAUCGCUAGUAUUGCUUCUACGCAUACGUGAUGGUGCUGCACUGAUAGAACCUAUCUGACUAAAGUGAAAUAAUGCUUUCUUUGUAGUGUUCAGAGUGCAGGCCUUAAUGCAUUAUUUCUAAACCUAGUCCUAAAGUUAGGAAAAAGCAUGCAUUGGUUUGUUUGGUUAUCUUAUUGAGCAACAGAUGAGUUUCAGUAUUGCAAAGUGAGAGAGACUAUCCUGAAUGUUUUACGGCACUGAUUGAGGAAUCUGUGGAAGACACAGAAGUGGAUUGCUGCUUGCGGCGUUACUAGAGUGUAGCGCUGAUCUGUAAGGGGAACUCGGUUACUAAACUCUUGGUGAGAAUGCCAAUGGCUGUGGUAACGGAAGCAUAGUGUACGAGUAUCAAAAUGAUCAAAACCCUUUCAGUUUUAAUAAUAUAUUAAAUUUUACUAGCAGAAACUGUUUUGGAAA